UACAGAGGGUGCGAGCGUUAAUCGGAAUUACUGGGCGUAAAGCGCGCGUAGGCGGCUUUGCAAGUCGGGUGUGAAAUCCCCAGGCUUAACCUGGGAACUGCAUUCGAGACUGCAUUGCUAGAGUAUGGGAGAGGGAAGUGGAAUUUCCGGUAUAGCGGUGAAAUGCGUAGAUAUCGGAAGGAACAUCAGUGGCGAAAGCGACUUCCUGGACCAAUACUGACGCUCAUGUGCGAAAGCGUGGGGAGCAAACAGG
rnacentral:rRNA from 1 species